UUUGCUUAUUCUUUCAAUGAGCCCAAAGCCAGGCUUUGGCUGGGACUCGGGAGAGCUGAGAGAAAGCUAUCGGACGAAGAUGGAGAAAAACUUGCAAGUGGAGGAGAGCAGCUCUUCUUAGCAGCCUGCAAUCACUUUUCAAAGUGCCUCUGUUUCAUCAGACUCAGCUGUGUGCAGAAAAUGGGCUGAAGACUUUAACAAAGAGUGGUCAUGUUGGUGUUUUGAGGCUACAGCGGGAGUCCAUGCAGCUGACUUCAGAGCUGAAUGAGCUGAAAGGAGGUCUUGGCCAUAACUCUGGAGCAGAUGCAGUAGGGAUCCACCGUCUGAUCUGAGACGUUCUUCAGUGCAGCGUGAAUACUUUUGUGCUGUGAACUGAGCAUGGGUCUGACAAGUGCUGUAGCCAAAACCAGCUAAUCAGGGGAGCAUCAAUAGAGCCAAUUACCACUCAGGCUACGCUUUCAGCCACUCAUGCAUGUGCCACAGUUAUUCAUUCACUUCCUCCGCUUAGAUAGUCUUGUAGACUUUGAGACAGCCUUGUGUUUUCCCAGGCAGGAGCUCUUCCUUUUCUUCCACACAUCUUUACAGAUAUUUAAACCAAAGGUUUCUCCCUCUGGGCUGUGCCAUUUUCUUUGCUGUUUCUGUGGCGAUGAGGGUGAUUUAAGCCUUUUAAUAAAACAUAGCUCUGCUCUGUCUCUCUCUUUGCCUUUAAAGUAUUGACAAAGUUGAGUGUUAGUCCAGGUAUCAAACAAGAGAGCACGGUGCUCGGAGUCUGGCUGCCUUUCUGAUGGGUGUAGGUGAUCUGAAACCUCAGCCCAGCUGUCUUUUAUUUAUAUAUCCACAGUGAUUCCUUUGUAGUCCAGGGUACAAAAUAUCAAACCCAGAUUUCUUUCCACCUGCCCACCCCUCUUUAAACUGGGCAACCUACAAAGAUUAAUAUUUGGCUGUGUUAGUGUCCCCACAGGAAGAGAUGUUUUCAUUACCUUCUUCUCUCUAUGCUUCUCUAAUCUGAGUAAUUCUUCUCAUAGUUUGACAUUUGGUCCAUCAUAUUUAACUAUUUUUGUACCAAUGUCUGGGCUGGGUGAUUCCUAUUGAAAAAAAAUAUUCCCUGGCCGAAGUUCCCUGUAGUUCUUUAUGUUUCUUUCUUUUGAAGAGUAAUAAUGACCAUGAAGAAACAGGAUCUGUCUUUGGGGAUCAGCUGGGAGUACACUGCUGUCUCAAAGAGUUUGCAAAGAUUUACUUUAUGCACAGCAGUAAAAAGACUUUCUGUAAUACCACUUUGAAUUUGAAUGGAAAAGUGAGUAGAAGGAUCAAAGAUUUGGUAUGGAUGGAGAUCUUUGCCUACACCUUCAUUGCAUCUUUCUGCCCUUUCUUGACCCCUUUGGCCUUCACCUUUCUCCACUGUCCAUCUUCCCCAUCCUGCCCUCACCAUGCCCACAGGGUCCUGCUCUCCUCUCCCUCUGCCCCGAUCUCUGACAAAUCUCACCAAUUUAAAUGCAGUUUCCUUUCGAUACGGACCUCUGUCCUGUUAGCUGUGUCCUCCUACCCAAACUCCCAUCUCAGCCUGGCUCCCUAACGUCUGGGGACAUCCAGCCCCCAUCUCAGACCCAUCGUGGCUGAAGGGGAACUGUUACUCUCAUUCCAAGUGACCCUUUCUCCCUUUUUCAGUCACUGGCACUAUCACCUCCUCUUACCCAUUGCUUGGGCUUACAACCUGGAUGUCAUCCUCACCUUAGACUUUCCUCUCUGUUCUCAAGGUUGUGUAGACACUUUCCCCAUAGCUUCCCCCAGACACAGCCUUUCCCACCAUUUACACAACCAAGAUGCUGCGCAGGCUCUUUCCUCUCACGUUUUGAGUCCUGCAGCAUCUUUUCCUGGGCAGACCCAGCCUUGGCCCACCACUGUCCACCCAACUUGUUGCUACACAGUUUUUCUAGCCCAUCACUACUGAUUACGUUCACCACCCAUCUUUUCCCUGGGCUCCCUUGGCUACCCGCAUCCACCCCUUGCUUCAUGCCAGGCUCUUACAGAAGAGCUCUGAGGCAAGGACCUCCUCGGCUCUGUGUUUCUGCAGCAUCUGGUUCGUGAGCCAUGACUGCAGGUCCAAGAAUAAGAAUAGCAACAACGUGCAAGCUGAUUCCAGCCCAAGUCAGCGGAGGCCAGAAGUUGCCGCGCUCAGAAGUCUGUUCAUAAAUCAAUGUGAAAUGUGCUGUCUGAGCAUAGCUCCCAGUAGACACACAUCUGCAUAACACAUACCACUGACAAAACUGGCGAUGGGAAAAAUAUCUAAACAUAUCAUUCCCACAGCUGUGGAGGAAUGAAUAAAGAUGUCUAAUUCCCCUGUCCCUGGGGUGAACCCUGGUCCAGGUAAAUGCACUUCUUGUAUAUCAGAUGUUUUAAAGGCAGAGGGACCAUUAGAAAAGUCUAAUCUGACCACACGGGCUAGAAGAUGUCAUCCAGGGACUCCUGUGUCAAGAUCAUAACUGAAUUUAAAGGAAGAGAGCAGAAGAAAGACAUCCAACCCUCACUUUAAAAUCUCAGAUGGUGGAAAAGCAAGCUUAUCCCUUGAGACCAGAGAUGAACACUGGAUAGUAGAGACUAGUCUCCAAAGAGCCAGGAAGAGGGCAGCACCACCACUCCUAUUUGGUUUUCUGCUCCUUCAUCCAAGAACCACCUUUAUUCUGCUAGCCAGCAUUACAGAAGUAUGGAGCAAUUUCCAUCGGUCACUCCUGAAGAAAAAUUGUAUUGGCAAAGUGCAGUUUGCAUUUCAAUCCUAGCUCAGUCAAGUGAAGGCAAUUCUGGCCUGGUUUUGGGCCAGAGCAAUCAUCCCUCUUGCACCUAGUCACUCACACUGGGUCUCUUCAGCUGCGGCAUCACAGCGGAGUAAUGAAGAAAGUGAUGCUGUACACAUCUGAGUCCUAAUGCAGCAGUGAUAU